AUUGAACGCUGGCGGCAUGCUUUACACAUGCAAGUCGAACGGCAGCGCGGGCUUCGGCCUGGCGGCGAGUGGCGAACGGGUGGGUAAUGCAUCGGAACGUGCCCAGUAGUGGGGGAUAGCCCGGCGAAAGCCGGAUUAAUACCGCAUACGACCUGAGGGUGAAAGCGGGGGACCGAAAGGCCUCGCGCUAUUGGAGCGGUCGAUGUCGGAUUAGCUAGUUGGUGGGGUAAAGGCUUACCAAGGCGACGAUCCGUAGCUGGUCUGAGAGGACGACCAGCCACACUGGGACUGAGACACGGCCCAGACUCCUACGGGAGGCAGCAGUGGGGAAUAUUGGACAAUGGGGGCAACCCUGAUCCAGCCAUGCCGCGUGCGGGAAGAAGGCCUUCGGGUUGUAAAGCGCUUUUGUUCGGGAAGAAAACCUCUGGGCUAAUACCCCGGGGGGAUGACGGUACCGGAAGAAUAAGCACCGGCUAACUACGUG
rnacentral:rRNA from 1 species